rnacentral:rRNA from 1 species
AAUAUUGGACAAUGGGGGGAACCCUGAUCCAGCCAUGCCGCGUGUGUGAAGAAGGUCUUCGGAUUGUAAAGCACUCUAAGUUGGGAGGAAGAGUUGUAGGCUAAUACCUUGCAAUUUUGACGUUACCAACAUAAUAAGCAACGGCUAACUUCCUGCCAGCAGCCGCGGUAAUACGAAGGGUGCAAGCGUUAAUCGGAAUUACUGGGCGUAAAGCGCGCGUAGGUGGUUCAGUAAGAUGGGUGUGAAAUCCCCGGGCUUAACCUGGGAACUGCUUUCAUAACUGCUGAGCUAGAGUACGGUAGAGGGUAGUGGAAUUUCCUGUGUAGCGGUGAAAUGCGUAGAUAUGUGGAGGAAUACCGAUGGCGAAGGCAGCCCCCUGGGAUAAUACUGACGCUCAGACACGAAAGCGUGGGGAGCAAACAGG